rnacentral:rRNA from 1 species
CCUACGGGAGGCAGCAGUGGGGAAUAUUGCACAAUGGGCGAAAGCCUGAUGCAGCGACGCCGCGUGAGGGAUGACGGCCUUCGGGUUGUAAACCUCUUUCAGCAGGGAAGAAGCGAAAGUGACGGUACCUGCAGAAGAAGCGCCGGCUAACUACGUGCCAGCAGCCGCGGUAAUACGUAGGGCGCAAGCGUUGUCCGGAAUUAUUGGGCGUAAAGAGCUCGUAGGCGGCUUGUCACGUCGGGUGUGAAAGCCCGGGGCUUAACCCCGGGACUGCAUUCGAUACGGGCUAGCUAGAGUGUGGUAGGGGGGAUCGGAAUUCCUGGUGUAGCGGUGAAAUGCGCAGAUAUCAGGAGGAACACCGGUGGCGAAGGCGGAUCUCUGGGCCAUUACUGACGCUGAGGAGCGAAAGCGUGGGGAGCGAACAGGAUUAGAUACCCUGGUAGUCCACGCCGUAAACGGUGGGAACUAGGUGUUGGCGACAUUCCACGUCGUCGGUGCCGCAGCUAACGCAUUAAGUUCCCCGCCUGGGGAGUACGGCCGCAAGGCUAAAACUCAAAGAUAUGCGNGNGAGACGCGACGACGACGACGACGAGGAG